rnacentral:rRNA from 1 species
AUUGAACGCUGGCGGCAUGCUUUACACAUGCAAGUCGAACGGUAACAGGCCGCAAGGUGCUGACUAGUGGCGGACGGUGGAGUAAUGCAUCGGAACGCGCCCAGUCGUGGGGUAUAACUACUCGAAAGAUUAGCUAAUACCGCAUACGAUCUAUGGCUGCAAGCGGGGGACCGUAAGGCCUCGCCCGAUUUGAGCGGCCGAUGUCAGAUUAGGUAGUUGGUGGGGUAAAGGCUCACCAAGCCAACGAUCUGUAGCUGGUCUGAGAGGAAGACCAGCCACACUGGGACUGAGACACGGUCCAGACUCCUACGGGAGGCAGCAGUGGGGAAUUUUGGACAAUGGGCGCAAGCCUGAUCCAGCAAUGCCGCGUGCAGGAAGAAGGCCUUCGGGUUGUAAACUGCUUUUGUACGGAAAGAAACGGCUCUGGUUAAUACCCGGGGCUAAUGACGGUACCGUAAGAAUAAGCACCGGCUAACUACGCG